rnacentral:rRNA from 1 species
UACGAAGGGGGCUAGCGUUGUUCGGAAUUACUGGGCGUAAAGCGUACGCAGGCGGUGAUGUAAGACCGAUGUGAAAUCCCCGGGCUUAACCUGGGAACUGCAUUGGUGACUGCAUUGCUGGAGUAUGGCAGAGGGGGGUGGAAUUCCACGUGUAGCAGUGAAAUGCGUAGAGAUGUGGAGGAACACCGAUGGCGAAGGCAGCCCCCUGGGCCAAUACUGACGCUCAUGCACGAAAGCGUGGGGAGCAAACAGG